GCAAUCUGCCCUUCACUCUGGGACAAGCCCUGGAAACGGGGUCUAAUACCGGAUAACACUUCCACUCUCCUGGGUGGAGGUUAAAAGCUCCGGCGGUGAAGGAUGAGCCCGCGGCCUAUCAGCUUGUUGGUGAGGUAAUGGCUCACCAAGGCGACGACGGGUAGCCGGCCUGAGAGGGCGACCGGCCACACUGGGACUGAGACACGGCCCAGACUCCUACGGGAGGCAGCAGUGGGGAAUAUUGCACAAUGGGCGAAAGCCUGAUGCAGCGACGCCGCGUGAGGGAUGACGGCCUUCGGGUUGUAAACCUCUUUCAGCAGGGAAGAAGCGAAAGUGACGGUACCUGCAGAAGAAGCGCCGGCUAACUACGUGCCAGCAGCCGCGGUAAUACGUAGGGCGCAAGCGUUGUCCGGAAUUAUUGGGCGUAAAGAGCUCGUAGGCGGCUUGUCACGUCGGGUGUGAAAGCCCGGGGCUUAACCCCGGGUCUGCAUUCGAUACGGGCUAGCUAGAGUGUGGUAGGGGAGAUCGGAAUUCCUGGUGUAGCGGUGAAAUGCGCAGAUAUCAGGAGGAACACCGGUGGCGAAGGCGGAUCUCUGGGCCAUUACUGACGCUGAGGAGCGAAAGCGUGGGGAGCGAACAGGAUUAGAUACCCUGGUAGUCCACGCCGUAAACGGUGGGAACUAGGUGU
rnacentral:rRNA from 1 species